GAUGAACGCUGGCGGCGUGCCUAAUACAUGCAAGUCGAACGAGGUGCUAUUGUAGCAAUACGAGAGUAUCCUAGUGGCGAACGGGUGAGUAACGCGUUGGUGACCUACCCAAAGUGUGGGAUAACAGUCCGAAAGGAUUGCUAAUACCGCAUGUGGUCUUCGGAUUUAGAAACUGAUGACUAAAGGAGCAAUUCGCUUUGGGAGGGACCUGCGUCCCAUCAGCUAGUUGGUGAGGUAAUGGCUCACCAAGGCUACGACGGGUAGGGGACCUGAGAGGGUGACCCCCCACAAUGGAACUGAAACACGGUCCAUACACCUACGGGUGGCAGCAGUAGGGAAUAUUGCACAAUGGGCGCAAGCCUGAUGCAGCCAUGCCGCGUGUGUGAAGAAGGCCUUAGGGUUGUAAAGCACUUUCAGUAGGGAGGAAAGCGACAUAUUUAAUACAUGUGUUGAUUGACGUUACCUACAGAAGAAGCACCGGCUAACUAC
rnacentral:rRNA from 1 species